rnacentral:sRNA from 1 species
AAAUUGAAAUGGAAGGGAAUGGUUAAGAAGCGAUGAAAAACUAAUCUUAUUUUUCUAGGUCAACUUUCGAAUAGCGAAAUUGAUUUACUGGAGAAUAGGAUUAGUCUGCCGUUUUUUACCAUGUGUAAUAGCUUGAAGAGGCUUAUUUAGUUUGCUUUCUUCCAAGCUAACCCUAUGGAAAUCGGAAUGACUUGUCUCUCCAGUUAGAUGGGAGGCUUUUUU